GAUAAACGCUGGCGGCGUGCCUAACACAUGCAAGUCGAACGAUCCCGCAAGGGAGAGUGGCGGAAGGGUGAGUAACACGUGGGAAUCUACCUCCUCGCAGGGAACAACCUCUCGAAAGAGAGGCUAAUACCCAAAAGGGUCAGAAAUGAUCAGAGUCGAAAGGCGUGAGGAGAGGAGCCCGCGGCCCAUCAGCUAGUUGGUGAGGUAAUGGCUUACCAAGGCUACGACGGGUAGGGGAUCUGAGAGGAUGUCCCCCACACUGGAACUGAAACACGGUCCAGACGCCUACGGGUGGCAGCAGUGAGGAAUAUUGGACAAUGGGGCGAAAGCCCGAUCCAGCAACGCCGCGUGGAGGAUGAAGGCCUUGGUCGUAACUACUUUAGAGGAGACGAGAAGA
rnacentral:rRNA from 1 species